AACCUUUUGUUUGAUUUCCUGCCACAAACAUCAUAGAUUAGAUAUAUCUCUCAAACUCCCACUGUAGUCAUGAACUACAAAAAAAGGAAAAGAAAAAAAAAAUAAUUUUUUAAGAUUUUUGUUUUUAGUUACCCAACUUUUCACCAAGCAGAGUGAAAACAAUCAGAGGAUUGCUGUCUGUCAGGCCACAUACACACAAAAAACAGCACCCACUCUUCACUGGGAACCUGCCUUGAACUUUUCCUCCAGUAACAGUUCUGUAAAGAAGGAUGGCAGGUUUUUUACGAUGGAGAAUCAAGUAUAUCUGCCGGACAAUGUCAACAUCAGUGAGCUCAUCUGUGUGGCCACAUACACCUCCGAGUCCGGCUCUGUUCAGCACAAGAGCACACUUCAUCUUAAACAAAGAACUUUUUGUCUCAGAAUGAAGGAAGAAACACCCACAAAGAGGUGAAGAAAUACGGAGGAUAAACAGGAUGUGGACAGCAAAAUCAGGCAUGAUAAGAAAGUGAAUUGAAGGGGGGUGUUUACCUGACAACUGCUGACAUUUUAACAGAGCCUCUGAAGAAUUACAGCAAAAGAGGGCAUUAGAAAGUUUCCUUUUUUCUCUUAGUUUUCUUUACUUUGUCUGAAUUUAAGAUAAAAUUAAAAUUUUUAAUUUGGCCUCUGAGUCAACAAAAAAAUAGUUGAAACAUUUUGCUUGUGCUAUCUUUCUUUUGUAUAAAUGCAGCUUGAGUUGAUAUUUUGUUAUUUAAUGCAAUGACAUUUGUACAGCUUUAAAUGUGGCUUAAGUGUCCAACGGCUUUUGGGGGCAAUUGUAAAACUAGCAGUUUAACUGAGAUGCAUGAUAAAACACAGUUUUCCCUUUAUUUAUGGUAAUCUGAUGCGAUUUCAUUAUUUGCACUUACGCAAUAAAUUCCAAAGCCAUUAUUGUGUGUGUUUGUGA
ensembl:lncRNA